ACGUUUUUUUCAUAGAGAUUUAGAUUUAAGGUUAGAAGAAUUGUGGAAGUCGUGAGACUUCCCUUUUUUUUAUCCCUUAAUUCUUGUUCUCUCAGAAUUUACCGACAAAUCUUAUAUUGCCAAGAGGAUAUAAAAAAAGCUCUUUCAUGCGAAAGAGCUUUUUU
rnacentral:sRNA from 1 species